GUACGGCCGCAAGGUUAAAACUCAAAUGAAUUGACGGGGGCCCGCACAAGCGGUGGAGCAUGUGGUUUAAUUCGAUGCAACGCGAAGAACCUUACCUGGUCUUGACAUCCACAGAACUUUCCAGAGAUGGAUUGGUGCCUUCGGGAACUGUGAGACAGGUGCUGCAUGGCUGUCGUCAGCUCGUGUUGUGAAAUGUUGGGUUAAGUCCCGCAACGAGCGCAACCCUUAUCCUUUGUUGCCAGCGGUCCGGCCGGGAACUCAAAGGAGACUGCCAGUGAUAAACUGGAGGAAGGUGGGGAUGACGUCAAGUCAUCAUGGCCCUUACGACCAGGGCUACACACGUGCUACAAUGGCGCAUACAAAGAGAAGCGACCUCGCGAGAGCAAGCGGACCUCAUAAAGUGCGUCGUAGUCCGGAUUGGAGUCUGCAACUCGACUCCAUGAAGUCGGAAUCGCUAGUAAUCGUGGAUCAGAAUGCCACGGUGAAUACGUUCCCGGGCCUUGUACACACCGCCCGUCACACCAUGGGAGUGGGUUGCAAAAGAAGCAGNNNNNUUAACCUUCGGGAGGGCGCUUACCACUUUGUGAUUCAUGACUGGGGUGAAGUCGUAACAAGGUAACCGUAA
rnacentral:rRNA from 1 species